GAGGGUAUAGCUCAAGUGGUAGAGUGCAUGCUUAGUUAUGCAUGAGGUGCUGGGUUCAAUUCCCAGUACUUCCU
rnacentral:tRNA from 1 species